rnacentral:rRNA from 1 species
GACGAACGCUGGCGGCGUGCUUAACACAUGCAAGUCGAACGGAAAGGCCUGCUUUCCCUUGUGGAUUGUGGGUACUCGAGUGGCGAACGGGUGAGUAACACGUGAGUGAUCUGCCCCCAACUUGGGUAUAAGCCUGGGAAACUGGGUCUAAUUCCCGAUAGGACUGCAGGGUGGUGCCUGUGGUGGAAAACGAUUUUCUAGUGGUUGGGGAUGAGCUCGCGGCCUAUCAGCUUGUUGGUGGGGUAAUGGCCUACCAAGGCGGCGACGGGUAGCCGGCCUGAGAGGGUGGACGGCCACAUUGGGACUGAGAUACGGCCCAGACUCCUACGGGAGGCAGCAGUGGGGAAUAUUGCACAAUGGGCGGAAGCCUGAUGCAGCGACGCCGCGUGGGGGAUGACGGCCUUCGGGUUGUAAACUCCUUUCGACCGCGAGGAAGCCACCUGGUUGGAAGGGUGGUGACGGUAGUGGUAGAAGAAGCACCGGCUAACUACGUG